AUUGAACGCUGGCGGCAGGCUUAACACAUGCAAGUCGAGCGGGGGAAGGUAGCUUGCUACUGGACCUAGCGGCGGACGGGUGAGUAAUGCUUAGGAAUCUGCCUAUUAGUGGGGGACAACAUCUCGAAAGGGAUGCUAAUACCGCAUACGUCCUACGGGAGAAAGCAGGGGAUCUUCGGACCUUGCGCUAAUAGAUGAGCCUAAGUCGGAUUAGCUAGUUGGUGGGGUAAAGGCCUACCAAGGCGACGAUCUGUAGCGGGUCUGAGAGGAUGAUCCGCCACACUGGGACUGAGACACGGCCCAGACGCCUACGGGGGGCAGCAGUGGGGAAUAUUGGACAAUGGGGGGAACCCUGAUCCAGCCAUGCCGCGUGUGUGAAGAAGGCCUUAUGGUUGUAAAGCACUUUAAGCGAGGAGGAGGCUACUUUAGUUAAUACCUAGAGAUAGUGGACGUUACUCGCAGAAUAAGCACCGGCUAACUCUGUGCCAGCAGCCGCCGUAA
rnacentral:rRNA from 1 species